CGGCGUGUGAAGCGGCAACAGCUCAAAUUUGAAAUCUGGCCCCCCGGCCCGAGUUGUAAUUUGUAGAGGAUGCUUCUGGGUAGCGACCGGUCUAAGUUCCUUGGAACAGGACGUCAUAGAGGGUGAGAAUCCCGUAUGCGACCGGCCCGCGCCCUCCACGUAGCUCCUUCGACGAGUCGAGUUGUUUGGGAAUGCAGCUCUAAAUGGGAGGUAAAUUUCUUCUAAAGCUAAAUACCGGCCAGAGACCGAUAGCGCACAAGUAGAGUGAUCGAAAGAUGAAAAGCACUUUGGAAAGAGAGUUAAAAAGCACGUGAAAUUGUUGAAAGGGAAGCGCUUACAACCAGACUUUGGGGCGGUGUUCCGCCGGUCUUCUGACCGGUCUACUCUCCGUCCCGAGGCCAACAUCAUCUGGGACCGCCGGACAAGACCUCAGGAAUGUAGCUCCCCCUCGGGGGAGUGUUAUAGCCUGUGGUGAUGCGGCGCGUCCCGGGUGAGGUCCGCGCUUCGGCAAGGAUGUUGGCGUAAUGGUUGUCAGCGGCCCGUCUUGAAACACGGACCAAGGAGUCUAACAUCUAUGCGAGUGUUCGGGUGUCAAACCCCUACGCGGAAUGAAAGUGAACGGAGGUGGGGAAGGGGCAACCCUGCACCAUCGACCGAUCCUGAUGUCCUCGGAUGGAUUUGAGUAAGAGCAUAGCUGUUGGGACCCGAAAGAUGGUGAACUAUGCCUGAAUAAGGGUGAAGCCAGAGGAAACUCUGGGUGGAGGCUCGGCAGCGGUUUCUGACGUGCAAAUCGAUCGUCAAAUUUGGGGUAUAGGGGGCGAAAAGACUAAUCGAAACCAUCUAGU
rnacentral:rRNA from 1 species